AGUGUAGCUCAGUGGUAGAGCCCCGGCCUGGCGUGCAUGAGGCCCUGGGUUCUAUCCCUAGCACU
rnacentral:tRNA from 1 species